rnacentral:lncRNA from 1 species
CCGCCCCGUUCGCCGCGCCUCCUCCUCCGCACAGCUCCGGUUGCGGGGAGGCCCGGGUGGGUACCCGGCGCUCCGGCUCCCAGUCUCCUGGGCUUCUCCAGUCCUUCAGCGCCGUUCUCCGGUCACAGGGAAUGAAAGCGAGGAAGAAGGAAACGGUGUCGAGAAUUGCGAAGAGAGAAAGCAUAGAAAACCCACAUUAGAGGCACUCCCAGAGCAGAAACCCUUCGGAGCAUCCCGACUUCCUCGGCCCGCGUGCAAUCCAGGCAAAAUUGAGGUUGUCUCUGAGCCGCCCUCCCUAAGCAGGUCGGAAAGCCCCCGAAUCAUCCCAGGUCCCGCCGCGCUGCACUCGCAACCUGGGGUGGAGGUCCCUCUAGUGGUUGGCACCAAACAAAAGUUCUGUCUUAUGAAGAGCCGAGGUCAGGAAGCAUUUCCCUGUGCCCAGCGCCAAGGUCUGGGACCUUAGGUCCAAGAAAAGCGUUGGCAAUGUCUGACCACAGGAAUGGGUUCUCGAACUGGGGAGGACUGAAGCUGGAGAUCUGGUCCAGCCCCUACCUCCAGCGUGUGGCCUGAACCCGUUUUGGUUGUACUGCUAUGUUGUGGCCCUGCCCAGGCCUCCAAGGACUGGCUGCUGUUAAGCUGUUUAAAAUCCCUGUAGGCCUCAGAUGGCAGCGACACCAGGGACUCGGCAUAGUCCCCAGCUCUGGCAGGAGUCACCACAGCCCUAGCCUUUAGUUCUCUACAGGCUGGAGUGUCGACAAACUCCACAGGACACAACUUUUUCAAACCAAAUUUACCCUCGCGGUCUGAAAUGACCAGUAGGCCCAGGAGAAUUUUACAUGUGAACAGAACCUAACCCACCCUGGCAAAUAUGAGACGUGUGGUCACUGCGGGAACCUGGCCAGCAGCAGACCAAAGCACAGCCAGCAGGGGAAGGCUGGGGCCCGCAAGAGUUGUGUUACAACAGGACACCCUUCAGUUCUCUUUCACUUCCUUAAAAUAGCAGCAGAGCGACUUUUGUAGACGCAGGCUGCCACAGUUCACACAAGGUCAUGGCUGUUUCCGAAUCCCACCCUUUAUUGCCCUAGCGGAGCCACUCCCCUUACCUCCGCCCCCAGAAACUGCUAGCCUGUUCUUAAAUUGAUACAGUUACCUUUUUAAAUGUUCUAAGUCACCGGCUCUGGAGCUUCUUUGCACUUUGGAACCAACUUGCGGGAAGGAACUUUAAAAAUACUGAUAUCUCGAUCCAUCCCCAGAGGUUCUGAUUUAAUGGUCUUGGGGAUAUGGCCACGGCAUGAGGACUGUUAAAACUCCGCAGGUGAUUCUUAUGUGCAACAAAGUUUAAGAACCACUGAUGUAGGCCAUGUCGAUGUCAGUCUUCACUUAAAUCCAACAAGACCCCAGAGCUAAAACGUUCACCUGAAAGAAACCCCAUUCCCAGGCCUGCAUACUGACCUGCGCUGGCUCACAAGAAGCAAAGUGGUCCCUUAACAGGGGCUUCCUGGAGAAAAUGUCUUGACCUAAAAGAGUGAUUCGAGCUGCAGGGAUUUAAGGGCUCAGUGUGGUCAAAAGAAGACUAUAGAAUCAAGGAUGAAGAGAAGGAACACAGAAUAAAAGGACGUCUCAGCAGGAAGCUCUGUGACUACUAUGUAAUUCUUACAAUACAGCAAAUGAUGCCAUACAGUGAAGCACCUUGAAAGAUUGCUGGGAUAAGCUGACAGCAUGGCAGCCAAAAUAGUGACCCCAGGCUUGCAGGAAUUCUGUGCUUUCUGGAGGAAAUGGUCAUGGGUUUCCCAACCUGCCUUUUAAACUAAGGACCGAGCUGAAGAAGCCCCCGUCUUCCAGCGCAUGUUAUUCCCAUGACAGAUGCUAAAAGUUCAAGGGGAGAGCUACAAGAAGUGCGUUUUCCUGUGGCUACUUUCAUGUCUGGAUGCAAUGCCUAGACCUGCAUCCAUCUUGCGACCAACCUGAAGAUGAACAGAAAGGAAGGAAGGAUGGCCCAAUAGCCUGGGAAGAACUGGUGUUCCUGAUACCAUCAUUAACCACAGAAUCUACAAUCCCGGAACCCCCCAUCCUUAACCAUGGAAUCUACAAUCCUAUCUCUAGACCCUUUGUCCAGAUGCUACAGUUUCUUUGUUCAAUCUAGUUUGUGUCAGGAUUUCUGUUCAUUACAUCAAAAGUAUUCUAAUACUUGUAGCAAAGCAACUGGAGAAGUUUUCACUUUGUCUUUAACCAAAGAAGACUUCCAGGAAACAUCUCCUCAGUGGGUUUCUCCCUCACCACUGGAUUUUUAUCUCUGUACUAGUGCUUUGAUUUGUUUUAGGAGUCUCACCUCUCCACCUGUCAUAUUUCCCUGGCAGGCUCAUUUCUGCUAAUGCCCACAAUAUGUGUAUCAAUGAGCUUUCAACGUUAGGUACACAGCUCUUCAGGCAUGUAUAGCACAUUAAUCUGUCUGCUUCUAAGUGGUCUGUUGACAUGUUUGGGUGCCAGUUAUAUCUACAAGGCUGUGAUCAUUGUCCUGGGUUAUUCUGUUUGUUCUCUCUGCAGGAUGCAUUAGGACACCCAAGGCCAUGGCCAUCACUUACAUCUAGGAUUCAAUCUUAUCUCCUGUGAAUCACUGGAAACCUCCUGUCCUGGAACCCUUUUUUUCCACAUCCCACUGGAUGUCAUUCAUAGCAACUGGUCUUGUGGGUUGUCUAUUUUAUUGUGUUGUCUUACUCUUCCUCCUGGUAUCAGUUUUUAAAUCCUCUUGAUGAGAUCAGCUGAUCAGUCGCUAAGCAACAUAGUCCCCCAUGUCUUUGUAAGAUUCUCUGCACUCAUGGCUAGAAUGAUUUAUUCUGGUAUCUUAAGCUGUGUUUCAGAACCUCAUUCUAAAUAUCAACCUAUUCUUGUAAGUCCACUACUGAUCAUCUUUAGAUAUUCUUCAGUCUUCCAGAGUUCCAAAGGGCAGUAGGAAGAAGCAAUGAAAAUACCACCUGUAUUCUCACAUCUUUCAUUGUUCCACUCAAAAAAUACCACCAUGUUCACUUCUGGUGGAACGUUUAUGUCCAUGAGAAGCAGUGGCUUUGAAGAGUUUUGGCAGACUAUGGCGCCUUACUCAACAUUGGGAAGGUAUCUUGCCAUCAGACCUUUUGGGUCUCCAUGAAACUUCUUAUACCCCCUCUGGGAAAAGUCACUAACUGUGAUCUUACUGAGCUUCUAAACACAGCAUUUUUUUUACACUUAAGUGAGCGGGGGUCCUCCUCAUUUGUGCUUCUCUUCUUGUAAGGGUGACUUCCUCCCAGUAGGAUGAAUCUCAUGCCUAUUUGUGUUAUUUUGCUAAUUCCAGCUUCUUUUCUACUCAGGGGGGUUCCAACUCUUUUAAGGUCUCAUCUUCAGCACUUCUAAACUGUGGGAAACUAUGUGAAAACAAAUGGAGUGGCCAAACACACCAUUCAUCACUGUGCUUCUGGACAGCUGCAAGUCCAUACGUGUUCUGAUAAUUCAAUACAAGAAAGAAGAUUUGCUUGGGAAGGUCUGAAUGGCCCUAGCUUUGUUUGUUAACCAUAACCUCUACCAGCUGGAAACACAAUGCCCCACUAAUACUAACAGUGCCUGCUUGUCCAAACAGCAUUCUGGCCACUUACAGCAAUUGACACAAAUUCUAACAGGUCUGUUAAUGUUUUUCAGAUCCUAAACUUGUAGUAGAUUUUUAUGUUCUCUGCAAUCAGUUUUGCUUCAGCGGCCCUGCAGGUGUUUAUGCGUGCUGGCAUGCUAAAUCUCACCAUUCAAAAUAGUUUAUUUUUUACAACAAAAUCUGAAGAAUAAUUUCUUCAUUUUGUCAAAAAAUACCCCAUUCCUAUUAUUUUUCUCUUCUUUAUCUUCACAGGUAGAUGGGGCAAAGCAUUACCUUGUGUAAAACUGCUGCUAAAAUAUAUUCCUAGUGAGAAAGGUCAACUUGUGGGCUAAAGUCCUUGUCACCUCCUGAUCAGUUUUCACUUAGGGCACAGCAGUCUGCCAUUCACCAUUGGGAUCUCUGUGUGUUUCUUCUCUCUUAUGAAAGGACAUAUUGAGCGCUCUAGGACUUGGCUGCCUACAUCAAGUAGAGGGGGACCCUCAUGAUUCACUAAGGGGCCUCAGUUCUGAAUAUUUCUCAUUAUUCAAAAAUGCAAAGCCAUUGUCAUUACGUGGCAGUUUAUUGGAACCAAGGGAGGAAUUGGUCCCUUUUCAUGUUCUUCUCCUAAAUAGAGAAAAGGUAAUUAAAACUUGGAGCUUAAUAAGGGCCAUCUCUAUUUGAACAGCCUAAUACAAAUCCAUUCUCAAUACCUUUUUACACCUUGUCUGAACUGACUUCUACUGUGUACUCCACUGCAUGGGAAUUCUGGAACUUUAGAACGAAGGGAACUCAAUUCAUUCUAUAUAUAUCUCAUUCAUUCAUUUUUUUUUCAUUUGUUCACCAAAUGCUAACUCAAUACCUACGUAACAGAGAUAAUGUUCUUAUUGUCUGUAAAUCAGAAAAUGCAUGCAUUGAAUAAACGCCAUAUAUUCUUGGAAGCUGAGGGCUGAUAACUCAAGGUAAAUGAUCAGCUAGUCUCCUAUGAAAUAAGUAUCUUAUUUCAUGUUACAUGUAGAAAUGACCAUGCAACUUUAUCUUAAAGCCAGGCCUUAUUGAGAAAAAGGGGAUCCAAAUUCCAAAUGUUUCCUUACAUGCUGAGAGGAAACCUUGGAGGUCUGAGCGUGAGUCAUAGGUAGAGGGAAAUCAUGCUAAGAUAUAUAUUGUUUCCACCAGACAGGUAGAGGAAGCAGAGACCCUUUGGCAGAAGAGAUACAGAGAAGAGAGGAGGAGAGGUUCUGGCUUUACCGUUCAGGCUUGAAACCCCAAGUUUAGAUGGAUUGAGGGGGAAGCUUAAGGCAAACAUGACCCCUGGGCCAACACAGGCUAGAGGAACAAUGUAGAAAUGACCAUGUAACUUUAUAGGCAUGAAGAAGAUGCCUGUGAUGGCACUGAGUCUCCUGUGGCUCCCUUGUGUGCCCAAAUGCCUGAAGGAUGUGAGAGUAUUGGUUGUUAGAAUUUCAGGGAAUUCCACCAAGUGGGGAAUGACUCUGUAUUAAGGGCUGCAAAGAAAAGCUCCCAGGCCAAGCAUUGAGUGGGAGGUGCUACCUGCCCUCAGGGAUCCACAGGGACUUCAACAGCUGAUGUGGGGUCUCAUCAGCCUCAAGGUGGCCAAGUUUCUAUGCUGAGACUAUAGCCCACAGUUACACCAGCCAUGAUCCUCAGCAGCAGAGGUAGUGAUGAUGAAGUCUGAUGCCCAAAGACAAGCAGAACAAUAUGCACAGUUCCAGCCAAUGCCACGAGGUAGCCUUUGUACUUCCCUAUACCUAGCUGGGAGGGAGGAAGGAAGGAGAGAGGAGACUCCUAGGAAGAGGAGAAAAUAAUUAUCCCAAAGAGACUGACAUAACCUGGAAAAGACCGAGAACUACUAAUUAGCAAGAUAAAGUUCAUUUACCUCUUCCUGUUUCUUACCAAGAUGGUAUGUAUCCUUUCAGAUAAUAAAUAAAUUUAUGUUUUCUUGCCCUAUUUUAAUGUGAUUUAAAUGUUUCUUGUUUUUUCUGUUUUCAUUCAUAACAAAAAUUUUGUUCUCAGAGACACUGAGACAUGAGACACGAUGCUGGACUAUAUUGGGGGGGAGCACCUCAUCAUAUGGGCAAGAUAUUGCAGCAGCAUGUAGCCCUCCACGUCCUGACUGCUCACUUCUCUUUCGCCAUCCCCUAACACACGUAUUAGGCUUUUGCUAUGUUCAUUUAUCUAGCCCAUAAGCCACUCCUUCAGAGGGCAAUGCAUGGAAUUGGCAGCCUUGGUUCCCCACCAACUGACAGGGGUCUGGAAUUCAGGUGUUUCCAAAGACCUGCAGUCUUGGGGGCCUUAAUGCUUGCUGAGUAGCAGCACUUUCUAGGACUUUCCCUAUUGUACGUUUCAGUCCAUGCUUUUCUUUUUGUCUUGUCUCAGUGUUCUUCCCUGCUAGUCUGGUUCUCAACAAGACCCAAGCCCUGCAACACACCCAAAUCCCCUUGAUGGGAACCUGAUUUCCUACGUGGCUUUUCCCAGUCACCCCAUGCUCUCCCCACUCCCAUCUUUCCUGGUGAAUUGCUCCUUUCCUAAAUCUGUUGUGAAUAACAAUUUGGCCACAGUGCUAAAGCCUCUCACUCCUCACUUUAAAUUCCUUUGGGAAACAGUCAUUCAUGUUCAUUUUAGACAAUUUCCCUGUCCUGUGCGGACUCUUCUCAAGAAGUCUACUCCCAAAACUCCUGCUGAGGUAGGUCCAGGUCA